rnacentral:rRNA from 1 species
GACGAACGCUGGCGGCGUGCUUAACACAUGCAAGUCGAACGGAAAGGCCUGCUUUCCCUUGUGGAUUGCGGGUACUCGAGUGGCGAACGGGUGAGUAACACGUGAGUGAUCUGCCCCCAACUUGGGUAUAAGCCUGGGAAACUGGGUCUAAUUCCCGAUAGGACUGCAGGGUGGUGCCUGUGGUGGAAAACGAUUUUCUAGUGGUUGGGGAUGAGCUCGCGGCCUAUCAGCUUGUUGGUGGGGUAAUGGCCUACCAAGGCGGCGACGGGUAGCCGGCCUGGGAGGGUGGACGGGCACAGUGGGAAUGAGAGACGGCCCAGACUCCGACGGGAGGCAGCAGCGGGGAAGAGUGGACAAGGGGCGGAAGCCUGAGGCAGCGACGCAGCGUGGGGGAUGACGGGCUUCGGGUGGUAAACUCCUUUCGACCGCGAGGAAGCCACCUGGUUGGAAGGGUGGUGACGGUAGUGGUAGAAGAAGCACCGGCUAACUACGUG